rnacentral:rRNA from 1 species
UACGGAGGGGGCGAGCGUUGUUCGGAGUUACUGGGUGUAAAGCGCACGUAGGCGGUGCGGUAAGUCAGGGGUUAAAGGCUGCAGCUCAACUGCAGUAAGGCCUUUGAUACUAUCGUGCUAGAGUGCCGGAGAGGGUAGCGGAAUUCCCUGUGUAGCGGUGAAAUGCGUAGAUAUAGGGAGGAACACCGGUUGCGAAGGCGGCUACCUGGCCGGUAACUGACGCUGAGGUGCGAGAGCGUGGGGAGCAAACAGG